rfam:Caenorhabditis brenneri strain PB2801 C_brenneri-6.0.1_Cont128.14, whole genome shotgun sequence.
GCGCGAUGAAGGUUUAACCAUCUUUCGGCUGAGUACAUGAUGCCAGAAUUUUCUUACUGAGCGCGG